rnacentral:lncRNA from 1 species
GACAAUAUGCACUAAUAUUAACCAAAAUAGACCGCAACACACUGAAUGGGAACACACCAAAAUUUUAAUUAGCCUUGAUUCACGAUUUAGUCAUUGAAGUAUACCCUUUUUUCCAUUUUAGUACUUAAAAUUUUUAGUCCCAAUUUUAUAUCUAAAGUAUCAAUUUCUUCUAUUUUUGGUCCAUUUUGUAACAGAGGUUAAAGAAAAACUAGUAGACAACUUUGGUCAAUGAAAAAGUAUCACAUGGCG